rnacentral:rRNA from 1 species
AGAGUUUGAUCCUGGCUCAGGAUGAACGCUGGCGGCGUGCCUAAUACAUGCAAGUCGAGCGGCAGCACGGUCUUCGGACUGGUGGCGAGCGGCGGACGGCAGAGUAACGCGUAGGAACAUGCCCCAAAGUGAGGAAUAACUGCCCGAAAGGGUGGCUAAUGCCGCAUAUGCUCUUCGGAGUAAAGCUUUAUGCGCUUUGGGAGUGGCCUGCGUCCGAUUAGCUUGUUGGUGAGGUAAAAGCUCACCAAGGCGACGAUCGGUAGCUGGUCUGAGAGGAUGAUCAGCCUGACUGGAACUGAGAACGGUCCAGACUCCUACGGGAGGCAGCAGUAGGGAAUUUUCCACAAUGGGCGAGAGCCUGAUGGAGCAACGCCGCGUGCAGGAUGAAUGCCUUCGGGUUGUAAACUGCUUUUAUGUGCGAAGAAUUUGACUGUAACACAUGAAUAAGGGUCGGCUAACUACGUGCCAGCAGCCGCGGUCAUACGUAGGACCCAAGCGUUAUCCGGAAUUACUGGGCGUAAAGAGUUGCGUAGGUGGACUAUUAAGUGGAGCGUGAAAGCGUGCGGCUCAACCGCAUUACUGCGUUCCAAACUAAUAGACUAGAGUAUGAGAGAGGUAGAUGGAAUUUCCAGUGUAGGAGUGAAAUCCGUAGAUAUUGGAAGGAACACCGAUGGCGUAGGCAGUCUACUGGCUCAUUACUGACACUAAGGCACGAAAGCGUGGGGAGCAAACGGGAUUAGAUACCCCGGUAGUCCACGCUGUAAACGAUGGAUGCUAGCUGUUACUCACAUCGACCUGAGUAGUAGCGAAGUUAACGCGUUAAGCAUCCCGCCUGGGGAGUACGGUCGCAAGAUUAAAACUCAAAGGAAUUGACUG